rnacentral:ncRNA from 2 species
CAUCAGGAGAGAGCCAGCCCGGACACCCCCACGGGUUCCGCCCAGCGGCCGCCGAAGGCGCAGGCCCCCGCCGAACGCUCAGGCAAAAGGACUGAUG